rnacentral:rRNA from 1 species
CAGGGUGACAGCCCCGUACACAAAAAUGCACAUACUGUGAGCUCGAUGAGUAGGGCGGGACACGUGGUAUCCUGUCUGAAUAUGGGGGGACCAUCCUCCAAGGCUAAAUACUCCUGACUGACCGAUAGUGAACCAGUACCGUGAGGGAAAGGCGAAAAGAACCCCGGCGAGGGGAGUGAAAAAGAACCUGAAACCGUGUACGUACAAGCAGUGGGAGCCUCUUUUAUGGGGUGACUGCGUACCUUUUGUAUAAUGGGUCAGCGACUUAUAUUCUGUAGCAAGGUUAACCGAAUAGGGGAGCCGAAGGGAAACCGAGUCUUAACUGGGCGUUAAGUUGCAGGGUAUAGACCCGAAACCCGGUGAUCUAGCCAUGGGCAGGUUGAAGGUUGGGUAACACUAACUGGAGGACCGAACCGACUAAUGUUGAAAAAUUAGCGGAUGACUUGUGGCUGGGGGUGAAAGGCCAAUCAAACCGGGAGAUAGCUGGUUCUCCCCGAAAGCUAUUUAGGUAGCGCCUCGUGAAUUCAUCUCCGGGGGUAGAGCACUGUUUCGGCAAGGGGGUCAUCCCGACUUACCAACCCGAUGCAAACUGCGAAUACCGGAGAAUGUUAUCACGGGAGACACACGGCGGGUGCUAACGUCCGUCGUGAAGAGGGAAACAACCCAGACCGCCAGCUAAGGUCCCAAAGUCAUGGUUAAGUGGGAAACGAUGUGGGAAGGCCCAGACAGCCAGGAUGUUGGCUUAGAAGCAGCCAUCAUUUAAAGAAAGCGUAAUAGCUCACUGGUCGAGUCGGCCUGCGCGGAAGAUGUAACGGGGCUAAACCAUG